UACGUAGGGUGCAAGCGUUGUUCGGAAUUACUGGGCGUAAAGCGUGCGCAGGCGGCUUCUCAAGUCAGGGGUGAAAGCCCAGAGCUCAACUCUGGAAUUGCCUUUGAGACUGAGUGGCUUGAGUACGGGAGAGGUGAGUGGAAUUCCCAGUGUAGAGGUGAAAUUCGUAGAUAUUGGGAAGAACACCGGUGGCGAAGGCGGCUCACUGGCCCGUAACUGACGCUCAUGCACGACAGCGUGGGGAUCAAACAGG
rnacentral:rRNA from 1 species